rnacentral:rRNA from 1 species
UACCAGCACCCCGAGUGGUCGGGACGUUUAUUGGGCCUAAAGCAUCCGUAGCCGGUUCUACAAGUCUUCCGUUAAAUCCACCUGCUUAACAGAUGGGCUGCGGAAGAUACUAUGGAGCUAGGAGGCGGGAGAGGCAAGCGGUACUCGAUGGGUAGGGGUAAAAUCCGUUGAUCCAUUGAAGACCACCAGUGGCGAAGGCGGCUUGCCAGAACGCGCUCGACGGUGAGGGAUGAAAGCUGGGGGAGCAAACCGG